AUUGAACGCUGGCGGCAGGCCUAACACAUGCAAGUCGAGCGAGCGGCGGACGGGUGAGUAAUGUCUGGGAAACUGCCUGAUGGAGGGGGAUAACUACUGGAAACGGUAGCUAAUACCGCAUACCAUCAGAUGUGCCCAGAUGGGAUUAGCUAGUAGGUGUGGUAACGGCUCACCUAGGCGACGAUCCCUAGCUGGUCUGCGAGGAUGACCAGCAACACUGGAACGGGGACACGGUCCAGACUCCUACGGUAGGCAGCAGUGGGGAAUAUUGCACAAUGAGCGCAAGCCUGAUGCAGCCAUGCCGGGUGGGUGAAGAAGGCCUUCGGGUUGUAAAGUACUUUCAGCGGGGAGGCGUUACCCGCAGAAGAAGCACCGGCUAACUCCGUGCCAGCAGCCGCGGUAGUAC
rnacentral:rRNA from 1 species